rnacentral:rRNA from 1 species
UAAGGUCACGGCAAGACGAGCCGUUUAUCACUACGAACGAUAGGUGCUAGGUGGAGGUGCAGUAAUGUAUGCAGCUGAGGCAUCCUAACAGACCGAGAGGUUUGAACUUUGUUUCUGCAAAACUUGAUCAAAUUGAUCAGGCAAUGCCACCCCUAUUAUUUGAUUGCGUGACAGCAUCAGUCUCGAAACUACUUUCCCUUAGCUUAGGGGUCUGAAAUGGAAUUUCGUACUGCUUCUCCAUCCUUCGGAUGGACGGAGAAGCAGUACGAGAGAUUGUUCG